rnacentral:tRNA from 1 species
GAGGGUGUAGCUCAAGUGGCAGAGCCCAUACCUUCCAUGCAUGAUGUCCUGGGUUCAAUCCCCAGUACCUCCA